rnacentral:snRNA from 1 species
AGCUUUGCACAGUGGCAGUAUCAUAGCUAAUGAGGUUAAUCCAAGGUGCAAUUAUUGCUAAUUGAAAACUUUACUCUGGCUUGAGGCUAUACC